CUGCAGCCAAUUAAGCCGACCUAGUUUCUUUCCUCUUUGGGGCCUGAUGUUCAAUAGCUGCAAACAGCAGCUUCCUUGGUAGUGUAUGCAGCCUGUUUCUUGUAUGGGUUGCUCUAAGGGACCUUGGAGACAGCC
ensembl:snoRNA SNORA70 Small nucleolar RNA SNORA70